ACUGCGCCGCUGAGGUGAUGAUGCUACUCUGAUGUUUAGUUAGGCCCUUCGAGGCUAUUAUGUAAGUAUUGGUCAUGUGACCAUGUUGUAAUUUUCUUAUUCCGCUUUGUAAUGGAUGGUGUAAUUUGAUAUCAGUUCGGUUAUGUGUUCACGGCGCACUGAUCAUGGGAUCGUGAACUGUAUACAUAACAGGGUAUUUCGGACAGCUAGUCCGGGGUCCCCACAGAGCUGAUCUGUAACACCCCAACUUUUGCAACCUUGAUUAAUUGUCCAUAUUUCAAAAAUUAGGGGGAACAAAAACUUUUUCUA